GAUCAUCAACGGCAGCGACACUGAAAAUAUCUUCAAUGUUUCUGUUCAUGGUGUUUCUGCUGCUGAACGAGAUCAAAUGAAGAGAAAGUCAGUGACGGAGGGAGAAUCUGUCACUUUAGAUCCUGGUGUAACAAAAAACCCAAAUGAUUUGAUGACGUGGUAUUUUAAUUACAUGCCCAUCGCUGAAAUCACUGGAGAUCAGAGUCAGAUCUGUACAGAUGCUCAGUGUACUGAGAGAUUCAGAGACAGACUGAAGCUGGAUCAUCACACUGGAUCUCUGACCAUCACUAACACCACAAACACACACUCUGGAGAAUAUAAACUACAGAUCAGCAACUGCAGAUUCAG